rnacentral:lncRNA from 1 species
CGCCCCGAGACCGGGCCUAGCCGAGACAGCCGCCGCGCGCCUAUAGACCAGGAGGACUAUAGUCAUGCAUGGCGUGAUUAAUUAAGCAUUAACCAUCAGUGGAUCACAAAACCACAUAUAUAUUGACUAUAGAAAUUUCUUUACAUAUACAAGUAGACAAAAUACAUUAAAAUCUCUAGUCGUUUCCCACCCACUAGUCCAGCCUAUUCUUGGAUGACAUCUUCUAGGCAUACUUAAGUUACACCGACUGCAUCUAAGAAACAGAGGAGACAAGGGUGAGUACGAUAAAUCAUACUCAACAAGCAAAUACUUCAGUAUUCAAUAAGGAGCAAUGGUAUGAUGGUGUAGAUCAACAGACGAACUGAAUUCAAAGGAUAACAAUGUAACAACCAUUGGAAUCGUAUUUUGAUGUAAAUGGACAAAAGAACAAAAUACCAGAUUUAGUAAAAACAACAAGGAAUCUAUUGGCGUCACACAUGACCGCAAGCUUCCCAACCCGGGAGUCACAGGGGUGAAAUUUCACACUUUUACGCUCUUAAGAGGGGUACUCCGACGUCGACAGUCUCGACUAGAACCACACAGGUUCCAGAAGAGCAGAGGUCUUGUAUCCACUAAGACCCGAACACCUGGACCUACUGAUGUGGAUCGCUCCUACGGAUCCAUCACCGACACGUUCUUGAACAAGGUCCGUCCUUAGCGGAGAACUCAGACAGUCCCAUACCUGAACUGUGGCCGGUACAAUAUGUUUGCCGUCGUGACACCAGUACAAAAUAGGAUAUGUGUUUGAAUCAAUGAUAGAAUCACUGUAAUAUCAGUCAAAGACAAUACGCGUAUUACUUCUCACGAGUUCCUCCAAAAUACUCUGAUUCCAUCAACAAAUGGAAUACGAGGACAACACAUCCCUCUCUCAAGGAUCAAGAGAGGAUCAAUAAGGACCAAGGUGCAACAAUAUUAACCAAUAAUCAAAGAAGACAACAAUAAAGCGAGAUCGGGGAGUUAGGCAAAGCAGCUACUUGCCUCAGAUAAUAUGAUUUCUCCUUUAGAAUAAUAUUUUGCAAGAAGAUGAAACUCCAUCAUCUUUGUAUAAAAUCUGACGAACACACAUAUACUCAUAUUUCUUCUGAUGUAUGGCUUGGCUCUUCCCUCCAGCAGCACCUAAAUGCUCUAUUCUUCUUCAAAUAUGGAUGCAUGCAUGAAUUCUUCAUCUCUCUUCUUUAUCUUUCUGGUGUCUUUCUUUCUCUCAGGCUCUCUCCUCCAGUGUUUAUGCCUUUCUCUCAGAGCUGUGCUUCGAGUAGCGUGACCCACAGCUAUUUAUAGGAGGCGAGCGCCCGUGCAAGUCUAAAAUAUCUUGGCCUGGCUCUUACUUAAGCACUAAGAAAUGGCCACGUAUAGGACACGUAAAAGCUGACUUCUAUUUUUUAUUUCUACGUUCCUCUAGUACUUGGCCACGUUGCAGCCCACGUAGGAAACUUGGGUUUCUAGCGAUGCAGCCGAUGCAUGCAUUUACCCACGUUUGCUUCCAUUCCUCUCCUGUACGUGUAGUUGAUUCACUACAGUUUUCAAAACACCUGACACAUGCAUGCAUAUCCUCUAGAACCAAGCCACGUUGCCUCUUCCUCAUGAUUACAUACAUGCACCUAUUUGACUUGGAGCUCUAGUACUAGGAAAUAUCUACCGGUGUAUCAUUUGUACCUGGUCUAAUUUCAUCUGUUCAAAUGCCACGUUAACUCUCUUGUAAUUUUCUAGCUUAUAUGGCCAACUAGCUAGUAGUAUUUUCCAUGCCUAUAUCACAACGUGAGUGCAUGAAUGCAAGUCUAUGCGCACAUACACCUACUCUUACUUAGUGUGUAAUUUUCUAAUAUUUAAUGCAUGCAAAAAUUUACAGCUCUAUCUUAAUUCUUUGAAUCAAGAAUUUAGCAUAACUUAGCAGAUAAUACAAAUUUAAUUACUUAUCUUAAUUUAAGUCAAUAACCCAAAAAUAUGGGUUAUUACAUCCUUCCCACCUUAUAAGAAUUUCGUCCCCGAAAUUCAACACUAACAUCUAUGUUUUUUUUAGUGAUCAAAUUCCCUCCCAUCAUAUUUGGAACAGUUUAUUUGAUGCAUGCUCAAUAAUUAAUUAAAAAUAAUGCAAAAAAGGAUUUGCAAUCUUUCUACAAUUCAUGGAUAUAUCUGCUAUAACAUAAGUUGGCAACACUAAACAUUUUAUUUGGUAAAUUCAUUAACAAAAAGGAUAGAUAGUGGUAUAGCAAUUGUCCCAUUACUAGAACAUUAUUACCGGUUGUCUUAAACAAGAAAAUCUACACAAAUAUUAAGUCAUGUAUUAAUCUAACAAGAUGUCUAUUUAUUUCCCAUGCAUCCUCAAAUUUCAUCCAUAAUGUGUACACUAUAUUUUUUAUUUGCCUGGAUAUCUAUUGAAACUAUUCAUGAGUACCAACACACAAACUAGUUGAGACAAGAUAUGAAAAUAAAAUCUUCAUAGCUGUCACACAACACAAAUAUUUUCGACGAUCUACCCCUUUAUCCCAGCGCAACCUAAAAACCUAGAGCUUCACGCCCCGAGACCGGGCCUAGGCGAGACAGCCGCCGCGAGCCUAUAGACCAGAGGCCUAUAGUCACGCAAGGCAUGAUAAAGCAGGCAUAAACCAGAAGUGGAUCACAAAAGCUAAUAUAUUUACUAUACAAAUUCCUUGACAUCUACAAAUAGUUGAGUAAAGACAUCAUAUUCUCUAGUCGCUUCCCACCCGCUGGUCAAGCCUAGUCUUGGAUGAAGACAUCUUCUGAACAUACUUAAGUUGAACAUACUUAAGUUACCUCGUUCGCAUCUAAAAAAACAGAGGAAGCAAGGGUGAGUACGGCAAAUGAUACUCAGCAAGCAGAUACUUCACUAUUCAACAAGGAGCGAUGGUAUGAUGGUGUAGAUCAACAGACGAAAUGAACAAGGAAAUUAUUGGCAUCACACAUGACCGCAAGCUUCCCAACCCGGGAGUCACAGGGGUGAAAUUUCACACUUUUACGCUCUUAAGAGGGGUACUCCGACGUCGACAGUCUCGACUAGAACCACACAGGUUCCAGAAGAGCAGAGCUCUUGUACCCACUAAGACCCGAACACCUGGUCCUACUGAUGUCGAUCGCUCCUACGGAUCCAUCACCGACACGUUCCUGAACAAGGUCCGUCCUUAGCGGAGAACUCAGACAGUCCCAUACCUAAACUGUGACCGGUACAAUAUGUUUGCCGUCGUGACACCAAUACAAAAUAGGAUAUGUGUUUGAAUCAACGGUAGAAUCACUGUAAUAUCAGUCAAAGACAAUACGCGUAUGACUUGUCACGAGUUCCUCCAAAAUACUCUGAUUCCAUCAACAAAUGGAAUACGAGGACAACACAUCCCUCUCUCAAGGAUCAAGAGAGGAUCAAUAAGGAUCAAGGUGCAACAAUAUUAACCGAUAAUCAAAGAAGACAACAAUAAAGCGACAUCGGGGAGUUAGGCAAAGCAGCUACUUGCCUCAGAUAAUAUGAUUUCUCCUUUAGAAUAAUAUUUUGCAAGAAGAUGAAACUCCAUCAUCUUUGUAUAAAAUCUGACGAACACACAUAUACUCAUAUUUCUUCUGAUGUAUGGCUUGGCUCUUCCCUCCAGCAGCACCUAAAUGCUCUAUUCUUCUUCAAAUGUGGAUGCAUGCAUGAAUUCUUCAUCUCUCUUCUUUAUCUUUCUGGUGUCUUUCUUUCUCUCAGGCUCUCUCCUCCAAUGUUUAUGUCUUUCUCUCAGAGCUGUGCUUUGAGCAGCGUAACCCACAUCUCUUUAUAGGAGGCGAGGGCCCGUGCAAGUCUAAAAUAUCUUGGCCUGGCUCUUACUUAAGCACUAAGAAAUGGCCAUGUAUAGGACACGUAAAAGCUGACUUCUAUUUUCUAUUUCUACGUUCCUCUAGUACUUGGCCACGUUGCAGCCCACGUAGGAAACUUGGGUUUCUAGCGAUGCAGCCGAUGCAUGCAUUAACCCACGUUUGCUUCCAUUCCUCUCCUGUACGUGUAGUUUAUUUCACUAGAGUUUUCAAAACACCUGACACAUGCAUGCAUACCCUCUAGAACCAAGCCACGUUGCCUCUUCCUCAUGAUUACAUACAUGCACCUAUUUGACUUGGAGCUCUAGUACUAGGAAUUAUCUACCGGUGUAUCAUUUGUACCUGGUCUAAUUUCAUCUGUUCAAAUGCCACGUUAACUCUCUUGUAAUUUUCUAGCUUAUAUGGCCAACUAGCUAGUAGUAUUUUCCAUGCCUAUAUCACAAUGUGAGUGCAUGAAUGCAAGUCUAUGCGCACAUACACCUACUCUUACUUAGUGUGUAAUUUUCUAAUAUUUAAUGCAUGCAAAAAUUUACAGCUCUAUCUUAAUUCUUUGAAUCAAGAAUUUAGCAUAACUUAGCAGAUAAUACAAAUUUAAUUACUUAUCUUAAUUUAAGUCAAUAACCCAAGAAUAUGGGUUAUUACAUCCUUCCCACCUUAUAAGAAUUUCGUCCCUGAAAUUCAACACUAACAUCUAUGUUUUUUUUAGUGAUCAAAUUCCCUCCCAUCAUAUUUGGAACAGUUUAUUUGAUGCAUGCUCAAUAAUUAAUUAAAAAUAAUGCAAAAAAGGAUUUGCAAUCUUUCUACAAUUCAUGGAUAUAUCUGCUAUAACAUAAGUUGGCAACACUAAACAUUUUAUUUGGUAAAUUCAUUAACAAAAAGGAUAGAUAGUGGUAUAGCAAUUGUCCCAUUACUAGAACAAUAUCACCGGUUGUCUUAAACAAGAAAAUCUACACAAAUAACAAGUCAUGUAUUAAUCUAACAAGAUUUCUAUUUAUUUCCCAUUCAUCCUCAAAUUUUACCAAUAAUAUGUACGCUAUAUUAUUUAUUUGCAUGGAUAUCUGUCGACAAUAUUCGUGAGUAACAACACACAAACUAGUUGAGACAAGAUAUGAAAAUAAAAUUUUCAUACCUGUCACACAACACAUAUAUAUUCGGCGAUCUACCCGUUUAUCCCAACGCAACCUAAAACCUAGAGCUCUUACCACUUUAACUGUCACGCCCUGAGACCGGGCCUAGGCGAGAUAGCCGCCGCGAGCCUAUAGACCAGAGGCCUAUAGUCACGCAAGGCAUGAUAAAGCAGGCAUAAACCAGAAGUGGAUCACAAAAGCUAAUAUAUUUACUAUACAAAUUCCUUGACAUCUACAAAUAGUUGAGUAAAGACAUCAUAUUCUUUAGUCGCUUCCCACCCGCUGGUCAAGCCUAGUCUUGGAUGAAGACAUCUUCUGAACAUACUUAAGUUGAACAUACUUAAGUUACCUCGUUCGCAUCUAAAAAAGCUUUAACUGUCAUGCCCCGAGACCGGGCCUAGGCAAGACAGCCGCCGCACGCCUAUAGACUAGGAGGACUAUAGUCAUGCAAGGCGUGAUUAAUUAAGCAUUAACCAUCAGUGGAUCACAAAAGCUCAUAUAUAUUGACUACAGAAAUUUCUUUACAUAUACAAAUAGACAAAAUACAUUAAAAUCUCUAGUCGUUUCCCACCCACUGGUCCAGCCUAUUCUUGGAUGACAUCUUCUGGGCAUACUUAAGUUACACCGACUGCAUUUAAGAAACAGAGGAGACAAGGGUGAGUAUGAUAAAUCAUACUCAGCAAGCAAAUACUUCACUAUUCAAUAAGGAGCAAUGGUAUGAUGGUGUAGAUCAACAGAAGAACUAAAUUCAAAGGAUAACAAUGUAACAACCAUUGGAAUCGUAUUUUGAUGUAAAUGGACAAAAGAACAAAAUACCAGAUUUAGUAAAAACAACAAGGAGUCUAUUGGCGUCACACAUGACCGCAAGCUUCCCAACCCGGGAGUCACAGGAGUGAAAUUUCACACUUUUACGAUCUUAAGAGGGGUACUCCGACGUCGACAGCCUCGACUAGAACCACAAAGGUUCCAGAAGAGAAGAGCUCUUGUACCCACUAAGACCCGGACACCUGGACCUACUGAUGUCGGUCGCUCCUACGGAUCCAUCACCGACACGUUCCCGAACAAGGUCCGUCCUUAGCGGAGAACUCAGACAGUCCCAUACCUGAACUGUGACCGGUGCAAUACGUUUGCCGUCAUGACACCAAUAUAGAUGGAUGUGUGUUUGAAUCAACGAUAGGACCACUGAAGUAUCGGUCAAAGACAAUACACUCAUGACUUUUCAUGAGUUCCUCCAAAAUACUCUGAUUCCAUCAACAAAUGGAUUAUGAGGAAAACACAUCCCUCUUUCAAGGAUCAACAGAGGAUCAACAAAGAUCAAGGUGCAAUGAUAUUACCAGAUAAUCAAGCAAGACAACAAUAAGGAGAGAUCAGGGAGUUUAGCAAAGCAUCUACUUGCCUCAGAUAAUAUGAUUUCUCCUUUAGAAUAAUAUUCUGCAAGAAGAUGAAACUCCAUCAUCUUUGUAUAAAAUCUGACGAAUGCGCAUAUACUAAUAUUCUUCUGACGUAUGGCUCCGUUCUUCCCUCCAUCAGCAUCUACACGAUCUAUAUAUCUUCAAACAUGGACGCAUGCAUACUUGUAUUCUUCAUCUCUCUUCUCUUCGCUCUCUCCGCUGGUAUGCUCUAUUUCUCUCAUGCUCUCUCCUAGUAUCUUCUCUUCGCUCUAUUUCUCUCAUGCUCUCACUCUUGGUGAUGAGGAUGUGCAAAACGAGUAGCAGCAGCUAUUUAUAGAUGGUGAUCCCAGAGUGAACUCAGCCGAGCUGUUCUUGAAGCACACGAUCAUCUGGACUCUACCUAUUACGUGGCAUGCAUGCCUUGGUCUACGUGGAGAACCUGGUAAAAGAUCUAAGCCGCAAUGGCCUUUGACCCUUGCCCCUUGACCCUUCGAACUGCUGCCCCUUUUGCUUGUGCAAAAGCCAAACAAACCUGACCACUAUACAAAACCUCCACGUAGCAAUUUCUUUGUCCUAAAUAUCUAAGGGUGCUGCCAGCACAACCUAGCUUCAUCUAGUACCAGGCCACGUUGGCCCUCUCAUGCAGAGGAUUUUACUUAGCUUGUAAGGAUAGUACAUACGUGUGCAUUCUCAUCAUUACAUGCAUGCACAUCUUCUAGUAUUUGGCCAUCUUCUCAUUACUAGCUAGCCUGUACUAGCCACUAAUUUGUAUUAAUUUGCAUACUAAUGCCAUAACGUGAGUGCAUGGAUGCUAGUCUACGUGCACACAUACAUAUUUACUUAGUGUGUAAUUAUAUCCAUCUAAUAUUUUAUGCAUGCAAAAAUUACAGCUCUAUUUUAAUUCUUUGAAACAGGAAUCUAGCAUAACUUAUUUGCCCAAUUAUUUUAUGUUAAACAGAUAACAGAAAUUUAAUACCCAACUUAAUUUAAAUUAAUAACCCAAAAAUUUGGGUUAUUACAUCCUUCCCACCUUGUAAGAAUUCCGUCCCCGAAAUUCAACACUAACAUACACACUAUAUUUUUUUAGUGGUCAAAUAUUCUUUGAUAAUAUUUGGGACAGUUUAUUUAAUUCAUGCUCAACAAUUAAUUAUAAAUAAUGAAACAAAAUUGCAAUAUUUUCUACAAUUUAUGGAUAUAUCUGCUAUAACAUAAGUUGGCAACACUAAUCAUUUUAUUUGGUAAGGUCAUUAACAAAAGAGGAUAGAUGGUGAUAUAGUAAUUCUCCCGUUACUAGAUAAAUAUCACCUGUUGUCUUAAACAAGAAAAUCUACACAAAUAACAAGUCAUGAAUUCAUCUAACAAAAUGUAUUUAUUUCCAAUGUAUUCUCAAAUUUCACCAAUAAUACGUACGCCAUAUUUUUAUUUUCCUGCAUAUUUGUCGAAAAUAUUCGUGAGUAACAACACACAAACUAGUUGAGACAAGAUAUGAAACUAAAUUCUUCAUACUUGUCAAACAACACAAAUAUAUAGUGACAAAAUUUAUUGCCAUGAACCAUUUUAGUUUAUAUGGUUCCUCAAGAGUCUAAUAAUGGUGUAAGCACUUCUUUUUUUCUACCAAUUGAUAAAAACAUCAUUUCUCUAACAAUAAUUAGUCACAAAUAUAAUCGACGAUCUACCCGUUUAUCGCAGCGCAACCUAAAAAACUAGAGCUCUGAUACCACUUCACGACAAUGAAGUGGUAUGGGUUAUUAAUUUUGACAAACAAUUAAUUCUAAUUAUUGUUACUAAGAGGGGUACCUCAUAUACGUUCUCAUAUACGUUCGCUUACAUGCUAAUAUAUUUAGCUAGACGCAAUGAACAAUAUACUCAUGAAGGUAUAUUUGUUGAAACAUACCUAGAGCUCUAGAGAAGGUAUUAAUAAAGACUAGGCUCAUGAGUAUAUUUGUUGAAACUACUCAUAUUUCUUCUGAUGUUUAUAUUAUCAUGUAAACAGUUCUACCCAUUUACAGCAUGUACUGUCACGCCCCGAGACCGGGCCUAGGCGAGACAGCCGCCGCGCGCCUAUAGACCAGAGGCCUAUAGUCACGCAAGGCAUGAUAAAGCAGGCAUAAACCAGAAGUGGAUCACAAAAGCUAAUAUAUUUACUAUACAAAUUCCUUGACAUCUACAAAAAGUUGAGUAAAGACAUCAUAUUCUCUAGUCGCUUCCCACUCGCUGGUCAAGCCUAGUCUUGGAUGAAGACAUCUUCUGAACAUACUUAAGUUGAACAUACUUGAGUUACCUCGUUCGCAUCUAAAAAACAGAGGAAGCAAGGGUGAGUACGACAAAUCAUACUCAGCAAGCAGAUACUUCACUAUUCAACAAGGAGCGAUGGUAUGAUGGUGUAGAUCAACAGACGAAAUGAACAAGGAAAUUAUUGGCAUCACACAUGACCGCAAGCUUCCCAACUCGGGAGUCACAGGGGUGAAAUUUCACACUUUUACGCUCUUAAGAGGGGUACUCCGACGUCGACAGUCUCGACUAGAACCACACAGGUUCCAGAAGAGCAGAGCUCUUGUACCCACUAAGACCCGAACACCUGGACCUACUGAUGUCGGUCGCUCCUACGGAUCCAUCACCGACACGUUCCCGAACAAGGUCCGUCCUUAGUGAAGAACCCAGACAGUCCCAUACCUGAACUGUGACCGGUACAUUACGUUUGCCGUCGUGACACCAAUACAAAAUAGGAUAUGUGUUUGAAUCAACGAUAGGGUCACUGGAAUAUCAAUACGCUCAUGGCUUUACAUGAGUUCCUCUCAAAACACACAGGUUCCAUUAACAAAUGGAUUACGAGGGUAACAUGUCCCUCUCUCAAUUGAAACAAGGAUCAGCAGAGGAUCAAUAAAGAUCAAGGUGCAACAAUACAAUCAGAUAAUCAAAGGAAGAUAACGGAUUUGAGAGUUAGUAAAGUAGCUACUUGCCUCAGAUAAUAUGAUUUCUCCUUUAGAAUAAUAUUUUGCAAGAAGAUGAAACUCCAUCAUCUUUGUAUAAAAUCUGACGAACACACAUAUAUUCAUAUUUCUUCUGAUGUAUGGCUCGGCUCUUCCCUCCAGCAGCACCUAAACGCUCUAUUCUUCUUCAAAUGUGGAUGCAUGCAUGAAUUCUUCAUCUCUCUUCUUUAUCUUUCUGGUGUCUUUCUUUCUCUCAGGCUCCCUCCUCCAGUGUCUAUGUCUUUCU